UUUCCGGUUGAUCCUGCCGGACCCGACUGCUAUCAGAAUGAGAUUAAGCCAUGCGAGUCAACGUAGCAAUACGUGGCACACGGCUCAGUAACACGUAGUCAACAUAACCAAUGGACGUGGAUAAACUCGGGAAACUGAGGCUAAACCGCGAUAGACCAAGAUACCUGGAAUGGUUUUUGAUCAAAAUCUAUAUGGCCUUUGGAUUGGACUGCGACCGAUCAGUUUGUUGGUGAGGUAAUGGCCCACCAAGACUAUUACAGGUACGGGCUCUGAGAGGAGUAGCCCGGAGAUGGGUACUGAGACACGGACCCAGGCCCUAUGGGGCGCAGCAGGCGAGAAAACUUUGCAAUGUGCGAAAGCACGACAAGGUUAAUCCGAGUGGUUUCUGCUAAAGAAACCUUUUGUCAGUCCUAGAAACACUAACGAAUAAGGGGUGGGCAAGUUCUGGUGUCAGCCGCCGCGGUAAAACCAGCACCUCAAGUGGUCAGGAUGAUUAUUGGGCCUAAAGCAUCCGUAGCCCGUUUUGUAAGUUUUCGGUUAAAUCCAUGCGCUUAACGUAUGGGCUGCCGGGAAUACUGCAUAACUAGGAAGUGGGAGAGGUAGACGGUACUCGGUAGGAAGGGGUAAAAUCCUUUGAUCUAUUGAUGACCACCUGUGGCGAAGGCGGUCUACCAGAACACGUUCGACGGUGAGGGAUGAAAGCUGGGGGAGCAAACCGGAUUAGAUACCCGGGUAGUCCCAGCUGUAAACUAUGCAAACUCAGUGAUGCAUUGGCUUGUGGCCAAUGCAGUGCUGCAGGGAAGCCGUUAAGUUUGCCGCCUGGGAAGUACGUACGCAAGUAUGAAACUUAAAGGGAAUUGGCGGGGGAGCACCACAAGGGGUGAAGCCUGCGGUUCAAUUGGAUUCAACGCCGGAA
rnacentral:rRNA from 1 species